UUUUUUCUUCAUAUAAAGGCUUGUAAUACCGCAAACUCUCCUGGGGCUGUUAAUACAGUUUAAAAACAAAAUUGAACUGUAUAAUAGUAUUUAAAAUAAUCCAAGCACUGCUGUUUUACAUGCAAAGUUGCCACUGGUUUUGCUCCAAUAUAAAUCUACCUGGCUAUUAAAGCUACCGUGACUGAUGAAGUCCUUAUUUUUGAAAGAUGCAUUAAGGAAACUGUGAUUGAAAGAUGACAUAAAAAUUAUGUGGUGUUACUGCUGAGAUAGCUCUGUUUACAGAAGAUGUAAAAGGCAGCUAUAAAUUCCUGUGUUUGCUAUGCUGUUUCCCUGCAAGGGUUUGUAAGUAGUCAAUUAAUUUGGCAGCAUGAGGUUCUGAGAAAUAGAAGAUAUUCAUGUGGCAAGAAAAACUGCAAAUGGAACCGUACCCGAACUUCAUCUCACUCUUCAGAAACCUUGUUCCUGUGCUAGGAAAUCUGUAACUCAAGGAAAGGACCUAAUUAAGGCUCCAAUUCUGGAAUUGUUCACCAAGAGCCAGAGGAAGCAUUAUGGCCGUAUGUCACACAAGGUAGUUUUAGUUUAGUUUUGGUUAAAUUUUCCUUAUGUGAAGAUUUCCCUUAAAGUUUUAUCCAUAGGGCACUGCAAAAUGUGUGCAUAUGUGUGUUUACACACAUCCACUGUUUGUUAGCUGGUUCUGUGGGGUUUUUCCUUUCUUUCCUCAUUUGGAUGAGGAGCAGCACCAGGAGGAUUUUAGUUCGUUUAAAAUGCAAAUGUUGUAGAUCACUCAGAUAUUUGUAAAUGGGUUUCUGCCUAACUGCGUUAUUUUAACAGCAUAUUUCAGAAGGCCUAUAACAAGUAACAGGUAAAGGUCAAAACUGUAAUUGAAAAAUAAAACGUGAACGCAGCAUCUGGUUUACUUUCUACUGCAGAGUGAGACUUCACCUCUAACUUCCCAAAUAGCUCUUAAGAGAGAUUAUCAUUAAAAUUUGGCAGUGACUCAACUGGAGUACAUCUGUGUGGUGUAAAAUGAAAUCUUUAUUUAACUGCAGAACACUUGAAUCAGCCGACCUCCCCAUUCAUGCUGAAAACCCAGAUCUAUACAAACAGUAAGUAUUAGAUAAAUCCCAUUUUUGGUGCCAAGCGUGAAUGACAGAGGUCACUGGUGCAGCUCCUGCUCUGGUGAGCACCCGGGGGGAUGCUCUCACCACCUCAUCUGUCCUUCUCAGAUAUUUCUCUCGUUUUGGAGCCUGGCUCUGUAUGAAUCAAUGCAACGUGGCAAUAAAUUGUGGGGGGCAACAAGAGGCCUAUGGCGAAGAGAAGGCUGAAACAUCCUGCAUUGGCUUUGCCAUGAGAGAGAUCGUAACCCAGAACCAUGCCUUUUGCUCUGUGGCAGCACACCUCACUGUGGUAUCUAUUUGAAGAGUCACCGCUGCUAAACAGCUCUUUUAGUGUGCUUCCUGCUUUGCCCAGACAUGCAUUACUGAUAUUUUACUUAUCCUGUUGAUUAGAAAACCGUCCCGGGGCAAUUCCUUUUGGACUUCAGCCCAGUGUUUUAAGUCUGAUGGUUCUUCCCAUAAUGGUGUUCACAAAACUUCUUGGUGCACAGCCAUAGAAGGGAUUUUAUAAACUGGAGCAGCAGUUUAACUUAUACAUGGGACUGACCGGACCCGUGCAGCGGCCUUGGUAAGACAACGCAAAGAAACGAGCUCCUGACUCCUGCGUCCGUAGGUUGCACCAGGCGUGCUGAGCUCCUGGGAGGUCUCUCCAAAAGCCAAGUCGGCUCAGUAGGAUCGACUUCAGCAGGAUCGUGCUCAUGCAUAUGUGAAAAGGCUUAGGCGCUGCUUGUCUGGCUGGUUCGGAGGGGAGGUACCGGCAGGUCCCGGGACGCGUUGUGGGCCCCUUCCCUUCUGCUGAGGAUGAAGCAUAACAGGGUUAAUAAAAAGCUGCAUCAUCCACUUUUCUGAGCUCCAGAGCACACCUGCACAAGAAGUCCACAGAGCUGAGUAAUUUACUGACUUUUUUUAAACCAAUCUCAUCAUCUUCUGCCGUGGCAGAACGGACAGGGCCAGUAUCUGGUGGGAGAGCCCUUGAGCUACCCAAGCCAGCAGGGCCACCGCGAACGGCAGGAGCCUUUGGUGCCUCCUCCUGCUGCCUGGAAACGCUGAUUUUAUUGAGGUGCUUUGGAGAAAUCAUUCCUGCAGAGAGCAUCUCGUGCAGACAGGUAGCCAGCAGGGUAAGUCCUGGGUGUCCUCACUAGCUGAAUUUCAUCGUGUCUCAUGGUUGUAUGUUAUCCAUGCAGCUGCUUUCGAGAGACUUUCUCCUGGCAAACCUUGGCACAUGCCCUGCGGCCCCGGCGGCUUGUCCCGUCCCACCUGGUCCUCCUUGGAGUCCAUCCCUGCACGGCAGCAAAGCCAGGGCUUCCUCUAAAGCAUUUAAAGCUGAUACGGAUCCGGUUGCAUGCAUAGGUGUGUUUAGUGCUGGGAUGCACCCAGGCUGCGUGGGCACCCGGGACCCCGCAGGAGACCGCUGCGCGUUUUCCUCCCACCCCUUGUCUCUGUGACAGGUCACGUUCUCCAAAGCGGUGCAUGGUGCUAAGAAUAGCAGGGUCGGAAGACCGAGGGCGGAUGUACUCUGUUCUCAGGAAGAAGUUAAUAAAUGAUGCGGCAGGAGCCAGAGUAGUACGAACGUAAGUCCUUCUUGGUCUUCGCUGCUGGCUUAGGAAUCACGUGAAUUUAAGCAAAUUUGAUUAUGCCUCGAGCUAUUAGCAGCACACGUUGCAGCUAAAGGUUUUCUGCGUGUCUGUUUAUAAAGCACUAUUUAAUAUACAAUAGCCAAGCCGUCCUCAGUCAUCCGCAGAUUUACUGCCCAAACCACAGUCCAUCACAUAUCUUAUUUCUUUCUAGACACUUCUAGGUUUGUAUCUGAAUCUUUAUCGUUCACUGUAAUGGGAGUUGUGGGGAUUCGUGAAAGCGAAAAGUAGCUCACCUUGGCGUCGAUGAAACAUCGGCAAUAAACGCAUUGCUUGCUUUGCAGCGCGUGAGAGCUGGUUUCUUUCAUGAGAAUUAUCCUGAGAUGGAGGAACUUGGUGUCGGUACUUUGUAUGCCCCAGCUGAUGGUGAACAUCCCACAUCCCUUCAUUUUGCAGGACGCAGCGCUUCCCGACUGAGACAGCCUUCUGGAAAGCUGCGUUUCCCCUUCCGCUCCUCUGGCACUAAUUAUUUCCCAUCCCGCCUUUCUAUCCCACGAAGAAUUGCUCUGUCUUCGAUAUUAAUCACAGACAUUGUGCCAACGUUUCUGAGGGUAAGCCAAUUAAAAUAAAUUGCAUUCAGGUGGGUAUUAGGGCAUAUCGCUGUCUUUCUGCGAGCCGCUUGCCAUACGCUGCUUUUCCGGAACAGCAUCGGCCGCGAUGGCAGCUCGUUCCUGUGCAGGCGAAUGAUAGAUCAUUUCUCCCCUGUAGAGUUUCCUUUGUGUAUCUGAGCCCAAGGACUUCCCAUGGCAUCAGUUUAAACUGAACGUGUUCACUGCUGGUUGCUUCUCGAUAUGCACCUUCUCAGAAACGAUGGGGGUUUUUGAGGCCAUGUCAGUAGUCGGUCGCAGAUACCAACCUCUGCACCUCCAGGGCUUGCUGGAUGGAUGCCGGGGAGGACUUCCACCGCAGCUCCUCCGCGAGCACGUGGAUCGCACGUAGUGUUCGUGCAAAGAUCACUGGAUAAAAUCUUGGAAAGAGUGUUUGCAAGGCUGGUCCUGGAGCACCGAGCCUAGUAACCAGGAGUUUCAUUAGCACAAGCACCUCUGGAUUAAUCAGCCCCAUGCUCAUCUUUGCACCAACACUACUUCCCCUUUUCUUCUGAUUCCUCUACUCUCCUCUUUACUUCACUUUCCAUAUAGCCUUACCAAAAUCUGAUGGGCAUUUCCUUCAUAUAAGCAACAAUCUAUCAGAAAAAAAUCUUAGGCCAAUCUGGCAUCAUUUGAUAAAGCCGCGUUGCCUUACGUUGCACUUCCCAGGUGUCCUCGCCUUUUGGAAGCUCUUCUGAUGUCUUCAUGCGUGCUGGAGGUCGGACGAACAGGUCCCAACCUCUUUCCCUCUGCUCCUUAAAUGCACAAGGUGCACUGGGAGUUCUUCAGUCAAAUCUCUGGCAACCUCAGUUAACCAGAUGCAGUACCAGGCGUUGAAUUCGGGGCUUGUUUUAGGAUAUAUAGGAUUAAAAAAAUGUUUACCUAUUAACGACUUAUUAUCCACCAGAGUCCUUUAAUAUGAAUUGCUAUUACCAAAGAAGCACUAUUUUAUCUGGGUUUACAGUUAGCCUCCCUCCAUUGGCUUCUUAGUGCAGCUAAUUUAGCAAAAUUGCAUUUAAAUGAGUCCCUGAUGAGAGACCCAGAGUUCACAUUUUUCUUUUAAUAGACAUGUUAGUCUUCCUGCAUGCUAAAAUUCCAUAAAUGGCUCUUUACUCUUCACACGCAAGACAGCUAUUAUAUAUCAGCUAGUGCAUUAUAUUCCUGGCCUCACCUUGGGGAAUAACUGAGUAGUCACUGCAUUUCUUUGAGGUAAAAGACAGGAUUUUUAAAUUGGAUAAUUUAUAUUUAUAUAGUGGUGGGUGUCCUUUAUCAGAGGAGUCUUGUUUAAAAAAAAAAAAAAAAAAAAAAAAGCUUCUUUCAACAGAGUUAAUUUCAAAAAAUAAAUUAAUUCAAUACAAAUAAGAUUAUGUCUUUCUUCAGGCUGAAGCCUUUGAAAGUUAAAUUGUUUUAAUUUUGGGCUUGCUUGUUGGCAGAAUCCUGUGAAAUCCCACAGCUUGUGCAAAACCCCCGUGGCUGGUGAAAGGAUGGUUUCCGUCGAGGGGCCUUUGCGGCCAGCAGCCGAGGGGCUGACCGCGUCCUCUUCGCUCGUACCGUGACGCUAAGAGCAAGGUGGAGAAAUGAGGGCUAAGUGCUGGAAGAAAAUGAACGAAACUAGUCUACGUUAAUUCUGAUCUUGGGGAAAGACCCCAAGUUAGAUGUUCUGAUAUUUGGCAUUAGAAAUUUAAUAUUCAAGCCCUUGGACUAUUAAAGGUGACUAAGCCUCACUGAAGAGAAAGCACCCGGUCAGUACGACACCAAAUUCAGGGUUAAUGUCCCUCAUUGGUCACGGGAAUCUGUUAAUAAAUACAAGUGUUUAACUUACAAUUAAGCGGAGACAAAUUUAACCCUCUGGGAAGCAGCGUUCCUCUAAGCGCUGCAGUCUCAACGUAGCUUCCUCCCACUCGCUUGCGACCCCAGCGGGAAAUGUAGUAGGAAUCAGCCAUACCUGGCAAAGAAACGGAGGUAUUUUUCAUAUCAUACCAUUUCCCAUAAAUCAGAGAGCAGAAAUGAGUACUGGAAAUAAUUUUUUAAAUUAUAGUAUUUUGUAACAUGAGGUCCUAGGUUUCCUCUCUGCGUUGCAGCUUUCACCAGGUGCACGUGUGCUGUCUAUGUAUCACUAUCUAUAGACUCCUCUGUGCUGCUGCUGGUGUCACUGGUAGCCCCGUGGCCCGUGCACAGCAGUUGUCUUCCUCUCGUGGAGCUCCGGCUCCCGUGGGAAUGGCCGUGGUGGAAAUGCACCGAGGAAAUUCAGGCAGCUGGAGAUCCCUCCUCAACCACCAGCAGCUGUGUCCCGCGGGAGGUCAUCCAAAAAUCACUUCUCGUAGGAGCAGAGAACUUUGUUGGGCAGAGUGCUGUGAUCAGGUCGGUAACAUUAAGGUAAGACCUUAAAGUAAGUUUUCUUCCCAGGAAAUUACUGCGUGCAUUAGCAAAAUAUUAAUUACUUUCCCUGAAAAAAGUGUGUGAAGGUGAAGCGUGUGGGUACAAAUGGUACGUUUCUGUUUAAAUUAGUUUUAUUCACGGUGCGAAUGCCAUAUUUCACGUAGAUCUGCAGUGUCAAGUGCCCCUGUACCUCACUGUCACCGCAGUCGUCUCUCGAGGCGACAACACUCAAAUUGUCGCUGCAAGGUCAGAGCCUCCCUGGGUGAUCAGUAGCGCUAGGUGAGAUGUUUUGGCUGCCGUUCCUUUCCCAGGAAAAAGGAGAAUACGGAUCAAGGGAAAUAUUUAAUGAAUUGUUACAAAUUUUGGUUAAGUGUUUCUGCUUAGGAAAAAAUCUAGACAGAAAGCUUCAUUUUGAUAUUUCAAAGCAAAGUGUUGAUUUAUUUUCCUUUUCCAGUUCCUCAUUGUCUUCUUACUAGGUAGGUAGAGCCAUCCCGUGCAUUAGAAAGCUGUUUCUGUUCAGAGAACUCUUGUGAAUCAUGUUAAAUUUGCUUUGAGCAGAUGUUGAUGCCUAUUAAAAAAAAAACAAACAAACAAAAAACCACCCCUAAAUAUGGCAACAUCCUGCUACCAUGGCUGCUUCUGCUAGCUUUGCAUUUCUGUACCGGAGGGUUUCUCUCACCGUUCCUGGUAGACUCUAUACGCUUUAGUUGCACCUUGCCACUGGGACGAUCUGUUUGCAGGAAAAUGCAAGGUGCAGAAAAUGCGCCUCCCACCUGAAUCCUCCUCGCCCCGGGAGGUCAGAAAGGACGACGGGCUUCGGUUCAUAGCGUAAAAGCAGGCCAGGGAAGGCUGGUGCUCGCGUACUUGAGGCUUUCGUCUCUCGAGGGCAGCGAAAGAGCAUCUGCUGCCUUGCAGUAAUGCUACGCUAGCCGCUACCCGUGGACUUGAGACUUAAUGCCCUCUUGCAAAUAUUUAAGGUCUCAGCUCGUGGUAAUCCUGGUGCUCCUCAAAGUACAGGUUGAAAAGGGCAUUUUAAAGAACUUAAACCUUUCCGGGAGGAAACAGGAUGGUGUUUGGAAGUUUUCUGUUCUUUGCUAUUUGGACUGACAGAUGUGACGUCUGGGCUUGAUGUAGCCUCGAUGGGAGUCACUAGGUCACCAGUCACUUUAAAGCAGGAAGAGCAUCUUCACGAGUAGCCUGUGAAAAGGAAAAUGUUAUGCUUUACACCUCCUUCUACUUGUUUUCCUGCACGCGGGUUGAGGGCAUUCAAAAUAAUCAUUUCUGAGAUUAAUUUAUAAAGCAUGUACUCCGAGUCCUGCUACCAUUGCUCGGAGCAGCCUCGCGAACAACGAGCGCUGCAGAGCUGUGUGUGGAGCAGGGCUCGCGACGAAAUCAGGGGAAAUGGUGAAGCUGAAACGGGUCCUGGGCAGGGUAGCUAAUUACCAGUGACAGCUAAUAACAGGGAUGUGAAUGACAGCAACGAGCCGAAAGAGAAAUGAAUGGGAGGUUGCGUUUUUGGGGCUGCUUUUACUGUCUGUGCUGUGCUCCGCACGAUGCUGCUCUGCUCUGAGGUCGUAAGGGUUGUUCUUGUGCUGCAAACCUGUUGUUUUGGGAACUGAGCUGUUGAAAAUGUACCAAUAUAUUAAAAAAUGUGGAGACUGUAGUUGGACCAAAAAAUAUAUAGCGAGCUAAACCCGGAACAAUAUCAGGGGAAAUGAGUUCUAAAUUAGUCAUGGUGUUAGAAGAAUAAUUAAGCAGUAUUUACUUACAAUUAUAUCCAAUAACUUUUUUUAUGCUGUGAUUAAUUAAAUUCCAAGAUUUCCUCAUAGUCUCUGCAUAUAUUAAACAUGGAAAUUCAUUUUCUCUAGCAACUCAUUAAGGUCCUGAAACGCUGUGUGUUUCAUUUUGAUCACUUAUUCUUUGCUUUGCAUUGUGAAUCUUUAGAUGUGCCUCCGUCUGAACCCCCAGACCGAUCCGGUGGAGGGCUGCAAACUGUGGUAGGAGCCGCUUACCUGUGCUUUUUUAAAAGUAUGUUAUAGGUCCAGGUUAUCAACAAUGUCUUUUGGGAAUAUAAAACCAUUUCCCACUUGAGCCAUUACCAUCUUUUUGCGCAUUGGGUUAUAAUCGCCUAUCAGGCAGGACCGGAGGGGGUUUUCGUGCCGCCGAAAUUCGGGCACUGAAGUCAGCAGCUAGUGCAGCGUGUUGAUGGCAGGACGCGCGGGCGUCUCCAAGCGCUUUCUUGUUCAAAUCCAGUAUUUGCCAGGCGUUUUUUUCUUGGAAUUGUUUAAUUUUAAAAUAAUUGUUUAAUGAUGAAAUCUUAUUUAUUCAAAUACACAAAUGCUCUUCCCUCUCCUGCAGAGCAUAGUGGAAAUCUCUGUUUUCAUCUGGACAUAGUAAGCGGGAACUGGUCUGAGGCAAAAUCCGUGGUCUGAACCCCCGAGUCCGGGGGCAGCUGGGCUCCCUGCAGAUAUCCCAGGGCGAUCGUGCCAAACGCAGCCAGAUCCAAAAUUCUUUUUCUGUUGGAUAAAUAUUUCUAAAAGCAACUAAACGUUGGCAUGACGAGAGAACUUUUGCUUGGUAAAAUAUUUGAAUUACAGAGACAGCUCAGUAAUUGCAUUUUUAAACACGUUAGAGGCUGUGUCUUGAAAUGUGACAAAGGGUUUUUGAGCUACCCAAAAGCUUUUGUUUGGUUGUGUUAUCUCCGAUCGGAAAUCACAAACAGCUCCGGCGCGGAGGGACCGCUGCCGUUCUCGGCGAGCGUUUCUGCGCUAAUUAGCUCCCGGGAGGUGCGAGGCUCGAGCCGAGGGAGCCAGCUCGGCUUUUCUUUUCCAUUGGCAUUCAAGGAAUGUAUCGCGUAAAAUCUCGAGCCAUGGCUGGUAGCCAUAAAUGGUUAAUAUACUAUUUAUAGGAUACCGUUUCUUUGGUACACAAUAGGCGCGUUUUAGUGGCGCUUUCAAGGAUAAAGCCAGGUUUUGUUGGAAGGCUCCUUGUAGGUCCUGCGCUGGUUGAGAGCACGAAGCGAUUCAACGUUUGGCGCAUGGUCCGGUGAAGAUGCAUCAACACUGCGGAUGCGGAAAGGAUCUGCUCUGCUCCGACACCGGGAAGUCAAGGAGGGACCUUGCAAGUUGAUGGGUGAUAGCAUGGGGCUGCUGUCCGGUUGGUCCGGAGCCGAGGGGCAGGUCGCUGGUACCCAUCUCCGAGCCGCGGGAGCCCACGGAGCCACGCUGCUGCCACGAAGCGAGGGCAAGGCUACAGCUUGCAAAAUACAGCAGCUUCAGCAGACGGGAACUGCUGCUUCUGGAAGAGCCAGCUAAACCAUAUUGUCCCUGUUUAAAUUGGAUGCAUGUGUGUGUGUGUAUACACACACACGUAUAUGUAUUUAGUACAUGCUAGCUCUGUAGACCACAUUGCAUAUCGCUCAUCUGGCUAAUUAGUUGGGUGAGAACAAAAUGCAGCUUUAGCUUUGCUAUUUAAUUUGUGCUGUAAAGGCUGUUUACUCGGGGGUGCCCCGGCGCUGCCGAGCGCGAUCUGGGCACGUAGGAGCCGCUGGCUUUUGGCUGGUGCUGGUACCUGGCUGGCCGGCUCUCUUAAAAUCUAGUCAGGCCAAGUGCUCGUGUUAUUUAAAUCAACGCCAAAUCCGCAGAUUAGGUACAAGCCAUUUACCCAGACGCUUGAUUUCACAACUUUCCGCCUCAGCCACAGCGAUAGCUGUUCAGAUCCUUUAUAACAGGCACAAAGCGGGAGCCAAGACUCUCUCUUUUCCAUCUGCUGUUCCCAGGCAGUUUAUCCAAAUCUUUCUGCAGUUUCCGCUCAAGCACACGAAAGCAAACAGCUGCUUUGAGCCCAGAUUUGGAGAGGCAAAGGGGGUGGUGGUGCUCCCAGUGCAGGAGAGAGCUUUGUCCCCAACAAAUUCGUCUUGAGGCAAGAAGAGCUAAGGGCACCGCGGUGGCUGGGGUUGCCACCAGUCUCUCCAGCUUCUCCAGCUUUGUGCUGAAC